UACAGGGGUGAGUCAUAUUUUUUUAUUAUAACACAUGGGAUAUUUGCAAUUUUUUUUGGAAAAUACUACUGCAUCACAAAGACAAAAUAAGCCUUUAUAAUGAUAAUGCUUAUUCUGGUUGUCUCUAGCUCAGUUGUCUAUAGGCGGCUCAAGGGCACACAUCGGACCCUGUUGGUACAGGAGGGCUGGGAUGUGGGGCGAAUGGUGACUGGGAGAUGGGCAGCUUUUCCUUCUCAUGACUCAGGACCCUGAACCUCAAAUUCAAGGAUCCAAUAAUGGAACUCAAUGGCAGAGUGGUAACAAAAUUGUGAGCCUGCUAGAGACAACCUGACAGGGUGUCUGAUACAGAGAGGGUUCAGCCUGCUGCAGACAGUGCCCCUCGGCACCCAAUGAGCUUAAAAAAUGUGUUCCAUUUGUCAGUUGGGGUGCCUCGAACUCUGGCAGGCCCAGGUUAUCAUGCAAAUGUGUUCAGUGGAAGAAGGCAUGAAAUCAUUCUCAGAGAUGAAUGGGGCUGCUCAGCGGACCUGGGAGAGGAGGGCUCUGCCCAGUAAGACUCCUGCACAUCCUCAGGAGAUCUGGCCACACCUCCCACUGAGAGAAGGCACUCACAGGAGGUUCAAGGCACAGCCUGGGCCUAAGGGCCCAGGGACAACUCAGGACACCGGGCAGUUUGAAGACAGGCAGCCCCAUAACUUCUGCCAGAAAAUCCAGACAUUGAGUGUAAUUCGUUUUGGUGUCUUUACAUUUCAAGCUCAUUUAUCCAGGUCAGGAACCAUUUAGUUUGCAUCUAACAAGUCGAGGCCUGUGCAGCAUCCUUCUAACAUAUGGCCUGUUCAUCCUGCCUCUGAGCAUCUGUCACAGCCAUGUUUUGGGAGGAGGCUGACUCGGCCAGUUUCGCAUCGUCAGCUGGCAGGGGCAAUCCCACUGUGCAGCUGCUUGAAGAGGGGCACAUGGCCUGGCCCAGUCCCCUUGGCUUCCCCGGCCCCCCAAAACCUGCUUUUUAGAGAAAGAAAGGGGGGCACCUGGCAGGCCACUUGUGAGUCACUCAUCUCCUGGGAAAUGUUCCAGGCGCCACUUGGAGGAGAUCACUCUGGAAAGCUCCCUGAUGCCCAGCAAGCCCAUCACCAUGGCAACCUAUCCAUCCUGAGCUGCUCUUCCCUUGGGCCUCCAGAAAGGAGGCUGACUGAGGUGAUGCAAGUUUCUCUGAGCACAGCCACCUUGCACCUUAUAUGAACACAGACUCAGCCUACUCACCAGCUUUCUGAGACCACAAACAACAAAAGCUGGCUGCAUAGGAGGGAGAGAGGCCCCAAGGAGGGGCUCUGUCGUGCGACCCUGCUGGACUUCUCCAUCCCAGUUUCCUUGCUGGAGUCAACUUGCCUGUGCACAAAGAUUGCAUCUGCCUUACAUGCCAUCAGUAGGAAUCCAUUCAGGAGAAAGAGAGAUCAGAAGAGAAGCCCGAGUGGAAAUGAGAACAAGCUGCGAAGGGGCCUGGCAUUCCAGUCACUCUAGUGAGCCGCCUCCUCUAGGUCUUCGGGGCAAGGCUGGCUGCAGAAAGAGCCUCUUGGCCCCGGAAAAUUCACACCCAGGUUGGUCAGCUAU
rnacentral:lncRNA from 1 species